rnacentral:lncRNA from 1 species
ACUAGCUUUCAAGUAAGGUAACAUCUCAGACCAUCAUAGGUUUUGACAGGGGAAACUCUGAAGGACCACAGGAGUUGGAGGUUCCACGUAUCUCUAAGUAGUAACAUACGAUGGGUCCAAAACAGAAGAAAGAGAACUCAAGAUUCCCGAGCCACAGAGCUGUUGAUUGGAGGCUGACUCAGAGAAACCCUGGAUUCAGUGACAUACAGAGACAACAGGGACUUAAUCGCCUUCUGGACAAACAUAAUCUAUGCGACCUCCUCCCCAUAAGGUGCCAUAAGCAAAGUGAGCGGUUUGGAGAGAACACUGUACAUGACUUCCUGACUACAAUGGCCUGUGGCUGAUGAAGUACAGCACUUUGGUGGAAACAGGUGGGCAGUGUGUGUGGGUGAGGAAUAUGAUGGCUUUAAAG